rnacentral:ncRNA from 1 species
AAAAGUAGAGGUGCGUAAUUCAAGAGUAGAAUGGCGGAUGUAACAGAUACAGAAGAAACCAUUUCAAAGGGGAUGACGCCGAAGUGAUGAGAGCGCUGGCUUUCAUUGCUGGGGGCAUGGUGAACAGCCAUGUCACUGUCAUCUGUAGGAUAUUUUUGACAGUAUAUUCUUAAGAUGGAGGGCUACUUA